rnacentral:rRNA from 1 species
ACGAACGCUGGCGGCGUGCCUAAUACAUGCAAGUAGAACGCUGAAGAGAGGAGCUUGCUCUUCUUGGAUGAGUUGCGAACGGGUGAGUAACGCGUAGGUAACCUGCCUUGUAGCGGGGGAUAACUAUUGGAAACGAUAGCUAAUACCGCAUAACAAUGGAUGACACAUGUCAUUUAUUUGAAAGGGGCAAUUGUUCCACUACAAGAUGGACCUGCGUUGUAUUAGCUAGUAGGUGAGGUAAUGGCUCACCUAGGCGACGAUACAUAGCCGACCUGAGAGGGUGAUCGGCCACACUGGGACUGAGACACGGCCCAGACUCCUACGGGAGGCAGCAGUAGGGAAUCUUCGGCAAUGGGGGCAACCCUGACCGAGCAACGCCGCGUGAGUGAAGAAGGUUUUCGGAUCGUAAAGCUCUGUUGUAAGUCAAGAACGGGUGUGAGAGUGGAAAGUUCACACUGUGACGGUAGCUUACCAGAAAGGGACGGCUAACUACGUGCCAGCAGCCGCGGUAAUACGUAGGUCCCGAGCGUUGUCCGGAUUUAUUGGGCGUAAAGCGAGCGCAGGCGGUUUGAUAAGUCUGAAGUUAAAGGCUGUGGCUCAACCAUAGUUCGCUUUGGAAACUGUCAAACUUGAGUGCAGAAGGGGAGAGUGGAAUUCCAUGUGUAGCGGUGAAAUGCGUAGAUAUAUGGAGGAACACCGGUGGCGAAAGCGGCUCUCUGGUCUGUAACUGACGCUGAGGCUCGAAAGCGUGGGGAGCGAACAGGAUUAGAUACCCUGGUAGUCCACGCCGUAAACGAUGAGUGCUAGGUGUUGGAUCCUUUCCGGGAUUCAGUGCCGCAGCUAACGCAUUAAGCACUCCGCCUGGGGAGUACGACCGCAAGGUUGAAACUCAAAGGAAUUGACGGGGGCCCGCACAAGCGGUGGAGCAUGUGGUUUAAUUCGAAGCAACGCGAAGAACCUUACCAGGUCUUGACAUCCCGAUGCUAUUUCUAGAGAUAGAAAGUUACUUCGGUACAUCGGUGACAGGUGGUGCAUGGUUGUCGUCAGCUCGUGUCGUGAGAUGUUGGGUUAAGUCCCGCAACGAGCGCAACCCCUAUUGUUAGUUGCCAUCAUUCAGUUGGGCACUCUAGCGAGACUGCCGGUAAUAAACCGGAGGAAGGUGGGGAUGACGUCAAAUCAUCAUGCCCCUUAUGACCUGGGCUACACACGUGCUACAAUGGUUGGUACAACGAGUUGCGAGUCGGUGACGGCGAGCUAAUCUCUUAAAGCCAAUCUCAGUUCGGAUUGUAGGCUGCAACUCGCCUACAUGAAGUCGGAAUCGCUAGUAAUCGCGGAUCAGCACGCCGCGGUGAAUACGUUCCCGGGCCUUGUACACACCGCCCGUCACACCACGAGAGUUUGUAACACCCGAAGUCGGUGAGGUAACCUUUUGGAGCCAGCCGCCUAAGGUGGGACAGGUGAAUGG